rnacentral:rRNA from 1 species
AUCGAACGCUGGCGGCAGGCCUAACACAUGCAAGUCGGACGAACAGAGGACGGGUGAGUAAUGUAUGGGGACCUGCCUGAUCGAGGGGGAAAACUACUGGAAACGGUAGCUACUCCCGCUAACGAUCAGAUGAACCCAUAUGGGAUUAGCUUGUAGGUAAGGUAACGGCUUACCUAGGCGACGAUCCCUAGCUGGUCUGAGAGGAUGAUCAGCCACACUGGGACUGAGACACGGCCCAGACUCCUACGGGAGGCAGCAGUGGGGAAUAUUGCACAAUGGGCGCAAGCCUGAUGCAGCCAUGCCGCGUGUAUGAAGAAGGCCUUCGGGUUGUAAAGUACUUUCAGUCGGGAGGCGUUACCGACAGAAGAAGCACCGGCUAACUCCGUGCCAGCAGCCGCGGUAAUUC